AAAUGAAUAGACGGGGGCCCGCACAAGCGGUGGAGCAUGUGGUUUAAUUCGAUGCAACGCGAAGAACCUUACCUACCUUUGAAUCCACGGAAUCUUGCAGAAAUGUAGGAGUGCCUUCGGGAACCGUGAGACAGGUGCUGCAUGGCUGUCGUCAGCUCGUGUCGUGAGAUGUUGGGUUAAGUCCCGUAACGAGCGCAACCCUUGUCCUUAGUUACCAGCGAGUUAUGUCGGGGACUUUAAGGAGACUGCCGGUGAUAAACCGGAGGAAGGUGGGGAUGACGUCAAGUCCUCAUGGCCCUUACAGGUAGGGCUACACACGUGCUACAAUGGUCGGUACAAAGGGUUGCCAACCCGCGAGGGGGAGCUAAUCUCAAAAAGCCGAUCGUAGUCCGGAUUGGAGUCUGCAACUCGACUCCAUGAAGCUGGAAUCGCUAGUAAUCGCGGAUCAGAACGCCGCGGUGAAUACGUUCCCGGGCCUUGUACACACCGCCCGU
rnacentral:rRNA from 1 species